rnacentral:tRNA from 1 species
AAAGAAAAAUUUAAUAAAAAAAAGCUUCUAACUUUUUAAUAAGCAUUAAUAUGUUUUU